GAAAAAUAAGGUGACAUCUGUGUGGUCAAUGGUUCUUCACAUACAACUGUUAAAUACAAACAAAAACAAUACAGUUAAUUUAAAUGAUAAAAUUUUAUAGAAUUAUCUCUACAAAUAUGUUACUAUAUUUAUUAUAUAGAUAUAUUUGAUUUUAAAUUGUUCAACGUUCAACACAAUUUCAACAACUUUCAAAAGCUACGAGAAGACUGAAAAUUAAUUACAUUACUGAUAUUAAAUUAUUGUCCCAAUGAAGAGUUUCUUAAGCACUUCAACAAAUAUGUUUAUCAAAACCAACAAGAAGGGAUUUUUUGAUAUUAUCUAUUACUUGUAGACCUUCUAGAUAACAUACAAAUAAAUCUUGUAAACAAGUGUA